GACGAACGCUGGCGGCGUGCUUAACACAUGCAAGUCGAACGGAAAGGCCCUGCUUUUGUGGGGGGCUCGAGUGGCGAACGGGUGAGUAACACGUGAGUAACCUGCCCUUGACUUUGGGAUAACUUCAGGAAACUGGGGCUAAUACCGGAUAGGAGCUCCUGCUGCAUGGUGGGGGUUGGAAAGUUUCGGUGGUUGGGGAUGGACUCGCGGCUUAUCAGCUUGUUGGUGGGGUAGUGGCUUACCAAGGCUUUGACGGGUAGCCGGCCUGAGAGGGUGACCGGCCACAUUGGGACUGAGAUACGGCCCAGACUCCUACGGGAGGCAGCAGUGGGGAAUAUUGCACAAUGGGCGGAAGCCUGAUGCAGCAACGCCGCGUGCGGGAUGACGGCCUUCGGGUUGUAAACCGCUUUCGCCUGUGACGAAGCGUGAGUGACGGUAAUGGGUAAAGAAGCGCCGGCUAACUACGUG
rnacentral:rRNA from 1 species